GUUACUCGAGGGUAAUCGGGCUGGGCAAGGUUACAGGGCACAACUGCUAUUAAUUCCCAGUAAGACACUUCAUUGCAGGGCCUACCUCCUGAGUCCCACCUGCACAGGGGUGGGCAGCCAGCCCUUUGAGGACACCAUGUCCCAGCAGACACACUGACAGGGAGGGGCCUGAGCGCACCUCAUUUACUUAAAAAUAAUUAUCCAAGCACAAAAAGUAACCGUCUCUUGACAACCAGAAGCACACCCGCAAUGACCAGAGGGUACACAGGUGAAGGAAGGAUGUCAUCAGCCAUGACAGGAUCACGCUCCUCCUUGGCGCACCAACGGGUCAGCAGUGUUUUCAAGGCGCUGCGUAAGGCACUGAAGUCACAGCUCCUGCUCAGGGUCGGAGCACUGGCACAGAGAGGGACUUCCGCCAGAUACGGCAUCAGGUGACCCGCACUGGUUUACCCGGGACCAACCAAGCAGCCACCACACCCCACCUGUUUAUCCGCCCCUCCAACCCAUUCGCACAUUAAACCUCUUAGAAAUGUG